UACAUUAAUUAUUUGAUUUAUAGUUUUUAUUGAUUUUUUUUAUUUUUUUUAUGAAAGUUUUAUUCUUGCUUUAUUUUAACUUUGUAAUACACUUUAUAUACAAUUUUUGUUAUUAGAUAUAAGAUGGUAGUAAUUAGAUUUGGAAAUUAAGUAAUUUUAGAUUCAGUGAUUUUUAUAGUAGGGGUUAAUGUCGUGCCAGCUACCGCGGUUAUACGUUGUUUACAAGGUUAAUUAUUUUGGUGGCAGGUAAUUUUUUGUGGAAUGGAGUUAUUUUAAUGUAUUGGUGGAAUAAUAAUUAUUUAUUUUAUUUUCCUUUCAGGUCCUGUAAUGACUAUAGUAUAAACUGGGAUUAGAUACCCCAUUAUUUUAGAUUUAAAUUAUUUCCAGGGUAGUAUUAAUUUAUUAUAUGAAAUCUAAAGAAUUUGGCGGCAUUUUAUCUUUUUAGGGGAACCUGUUCAUUAAAUGAUGAUACACGAUUAGCUUUACUGUACUCUUAUGGUUUGUAUACUUCCGUUAUCAGGGUAUUUAAUGAUAAUAUACUCUUGUUUUUAUAUAAAAAUGUAUUUCAGGUCAAGGUGCAGCUUAUGGUAUAGUUUGAAAUGGGUUACAAUAAUGGAAUUUAUAUGGAUUUUUUUUUUUAAUUUGAAAUUGAAGGUGGAUUUAUUAGUAAGUUUUUAUAAAUAUAGAUUCUGAAUUAGUUCUAAUUUGUGUACAUAUCGCCCGUCAUUCUCAUAUUUUGAGACAAGUCGUAACAUAGUAGAUUUACUGGAAAGUGAAUCUGGUUU
rnacentral:ncRNA from 1 species